rnacentral:rRNA from 1 species
CGGCGGACGGGUGAGUAACACGUGGAUAACCUACCUAUAAGACUGGGAUAACUUCGGUAAACCGGAGCUAAUACCGGAUAAUAUUUUGAACCGCAUGGUUCAAAAGUAAAAGACGGUCUUGCUGUCACUUAUAGAUGGAUCCGCGCUGCAUUAGCUAGUUGGUAAGGUAACGGCUUACCAAGGCAACGAUGCAUAGCCGACCUGAGAGGGUGAUCGGCCACACUGGAACUGAGACACGGUCCAG